rnacentral:rRNA from 1 species
UGAGGUUGUGGCGCUCGGCGCCUCCCUCCACCCCAUGUCGAAACGACUCUGUUGCCUCGGGGGCGACCCGGCCUUCGGGCGUCGGGGCCCCCGGUGGACACCUUCAUAACUCUUGCAUCUCUUGCGUCUGAGUGAUACAUACAAUCAAUCAAAACUUUCAACAACGGAUCUCUUGGUUCUGGCAUCGAUGAAGAACGCAGCGAAAUGCGAUAAGUAAUGUGAAUUGCAGAAUUCAGUGAAUCAUCGAAUCUUUGAACGCACAUUGCGCCCCCUGGCAUUCCGGGGGCCAUGCCUGUUCGAGCGUCAUUACACCACUCAAGCCUGGCUUGGUAUUGAGCGCCGCGGCCUGCCCGCGCGCUCCAAUGUCUCCGGCUGAGCCGUCCGUCUCUAAGCGUUGUGAAUAGCGAUCGCUUGCGAGGCCCGGGCGGUUCGACGCCGUUAAACCCCCCAUUUUCUAUGGUUGACCUCGGAUCAGGUAGGGAUACCCGCUGAACUUAAGCAUAUCAAUAAGCCGGAGGAA